GGAAUAUUGGGCAAUGGGCGAAAGCCUGACCCAGCGACGCCGCGUGAGGGAAGAAGGUCUUCGGAUUGUAAACCUCUUUCAGCAGGGAAGAAGGAAGUGACGGUACCUGCAGAAGAAGCCACGGCUAACUACGUGCCAGCAGCCGCGGUAAUACGUAGGUGGCAAGCGUUAUCCGGAAUUAUUGGGUGUAAAGGGUGUGUAGGCGGGACUUUAAGUCAGACGUGAAAAUCAAGGGCUCAACCCUUGACCUGCGUUUGAAACUGGAGUUCUUGAGAGUGGGAGAGGUAAACGGAAUUCCUGGUGUAGCGGUGAAAUGCGUAGAUAUCAGGAGGAACACCGGUGGCGAAGGCGGUUUACUGGACCACAACUGACGCUGAGACACGAAAGCGUGGGGAGCAAACA
rnacentral:rRNA from 1 species